rnacentral:rRNA from 1 species
CCUACGGGAGGCAGCAGUAAGGAAUAUUGGUCAAUGGACGCAAGUCUGAACCAGCUAUGCCGCGUGAAGGAUGACGGCCCUCUGGGUUGUAAACUUCUUUUAUCUGGGACGAAAAAAGCUCUUUCUAGAGCACUUGACGGUACCAGAGGAAUAAGCACCGGCUAACUCCGUGCCAGCAGCCGCGGUAAUACGGAGGGUGCAAGCGUUAUCCGGAUUUACUGGGUUUAAAGGGUGCGUAGGUGGGCAGGUAAGUCAGUGGUGAAAUCUCCGAGCUUAACUCGGAAACUGCCAUUGAUACUAUCUGUCUUGAAUUAUCUGGAGGUGAGCGGAAUAUGUCAUGUAGCGGUGAAAUGCUUAGAUAUGACAUAGAACACCAAUUGCGAAGGCAGCUCACUACGGAUAUAUUGACACUGAGGCACGAAAGCGUGGGGAUCAAACAGGAUUAGAUACCCUGGUAGUCCACGCCCUAAACGAUGGAUACUCGACAUCAGCGAUACACUGUUGGUGUCUGAGCGAAAGCAUUAAGUAUCCCACCUGGGAAGUACGAUCGCAAGAUUGAAACUUAAAGGAAUUAGACGGCUGAGACGNGCGAGGACGACGACGAGGGAGGAGG